CGAGUUUGAUCAUGGCUCAGAAUCAACGCUGGCGGCGUGCCUCAGACAUGCAAGUCGAACGAUUAAAGCUCUCUUCGGAGAGUGUAUAGAGUGGCGCACGGGUGAGUAACACGUAAGUAAUCUACCCUCGAGUGGGGAAUAACAACCGGAAACGGUUGCUAAUACCGCAUAAUGCAGCGGCACCGCAAGGUGACAGUUGUUAAAGAUUUAUCGCUUGAGGAGGAGCUUGCGGCAGAUUAGUUAGUUGGUAGGGUAACGGCUUACCAAGGCUACGAUCUGUAACCGGUCUAAGAGGACGGUCGGUCACACUGACACUGAAUAACGGGUCAGACUCCUACGGGAGGCAGCAGUCGGGAAUUUUGGGCAAUGGGCGAAAGCCUGACCCAGCAACGCCGCGUGAAGGAUGAAGUAUUUCGGUAUGUAAACUUCGAAAGAAUAGGAAGAAUUAAUGACGGUACUAUUUAUAAGGUCCGGCUAACUACGUG
rnacentral:rRNA from 1 species